rnacentral:rRNA from 1 species
AUUAAACGCUGGCGGCAGGCCUAACACAUGCAAGUCGAGCGGCAGCGGAAAGUAGCUUGCUACUUUGCCGGCGAGCGGCGGACGGGUGAGUAAUGUCUGGGAAACUGCCUGAUGGAGGGGGACAACUACUGGAAACGGUAGCUAAUACCGCAUAACGUCGCAAGACCAAAGAGGGGGACCUUCGGGCCUCUUGCCAUCAGAUGUGCCCAGAUGGGAUUGGCUAGUAGGUGGGGUAACGGCUCACCUAGGCGACGAUCCCUAGCUGGUCUGAGAGGAUGCCCAGCCACACUGGAACUGAGACACGGUCCAGACGCCUACGGGAGGAAGCAGUGGGGAAUAUUGCACAAUGGGCGCAAGCCGGAUGCAGCCAUGCCGCGUGUAUGAAGAAGGCCUUCGGGUUGUAAAGUACUUUCAGCGGGGAGGAAGGUGUUGAGGUUAAUAACCUCAGCAAUUGACGUUACCCGCAGAAGAAGCACCGGCUAACUCCGUGCCAGCCGCCGCCGUAACAC